UUUAAGACUGUAGACCCUACGAGGCCUCUGGAGCAUUUGUGCUUCUUAUCCUCGUGCAUCAUUUUUUCCACAUUCGCUGCAAUACUCCUUGUUAAGCUUCUAAAAGGCUUUCAGAUGAACCAUAUGGAGAACUAUAUAGGACGUGGGUGCCAAGGAGGCGAAAGGAAACAUCCCAAGAAAAGGCAAAAAGUUUAGCAACUCACCAGCAGUGAUGUUUUCCAUUUUCCUCUGGAAUAAGGAGUGGUAACGGUUCUAGUUGCCAAUACUGCUGAGCUGCUGGAGCCACAUCUCCUGAUUCUGAGGUGUUGUGGCAGCAGAAGAGGCACGGCAGGAGCCCGUGGCUGACAGCUCCUGACGUUUUUGCUUUGCCGAUGCACAUUCACACGGGUGUUUCACUUGCAGCCGCCCAUCAGAAGAAGCCUAAGUCGUUUGGAGAGAUGGUCUCCAAGCAGGAGACAAGCUGAGGUUUGCCACCUUGCAUCAAGCUCAUGCAUGGCUCUUGUUCAACGCUGUGCCAAUAAAUCACAGAAUCACAGAAUCACAGAAUCUUCUAGGUUGGAAGGGACCUUAAAGAUCAUCUUGUCCAACCGUCAACCUCACUGACAAAAAUAGAC